rnacentral:rRNA from 1 species
UACAGAGGGUGCAAGCGUUAAUCGAAAUUACUGGGCGUAAAGGGCGCGUAGGUGGUUAAUUAAGUCAGAUGUGAAAGGCCUGGGCUCAACUUGGGACCUGCGUAUGAAACUGAUUAACUUGAGUUUGGGAGAGGGAAGUGGAAUUUCCGGUCUAGCGGUGAAAUGCGUAGAUAUCGGAAGGAGCAUCAGGGGCGAAGGCGACUUCCUGGCCCGAUACUGACACUGCGGCGCGAAAGCGUGGGGAGCAAACAGU